rnacentral:lncRNA from 1 species
AGUCUAUGGAUCCUAGCAUUUAAUAAUCUUGGCAAAAAUCCCUGAGGUCAGUUGGGCUCUGCUGGUAAUUUCUUCAUUGUCUAUUCCUUAUAUCCCCAGAAAAAAAGCAAACACUGGGCAAGAGAUUCACUGGAAAGAAUGUCAUGUUGCCAGAUAAAAUAUUUGGAAUAUACUAAAUUAUUCAUUAUUUAUAUAAAAUUCAAAUUUAUUUGGGUGUCCUAUAUUUUUCUUUGUUAAAAUUUGGCUUCUUUUUUUAUAAACUGACCCUAAUUUCAAUUAGAACUGCAGAAUCUUAGCACUGGUAGGGAAUUUAUUAUUAUUAUUAUCAUCAUUAUCAUUAUUAUCAUUAUUAUUAUUGUUAUUUUGCAUUGGUAGGGAAUUUAGAAUUAAUCUAACUCAAACUUUUAUUAUUCAAGUUACAAUAUUAACAAUGACACUAAAACACAACCUUUACUUAAGCAUUCUAGAAAUGGAAGUUUUAUUACCUUCUGAGUCAUGCUCCCAGAUUUCCAGUUAUUGCAAAUUUCUAGCAUGUCCCAUCUUUCAUCGUGCCUAUAUCUGCUUUGGGGUAACUUUUUCUACUGGUUCUAAAUAUGCUAUGUGGAGUUAAGACGGCCUAUGUUUCAACUACUUUCUACUUAUUAGAGAAGAUGGAAUUUAUUUUUUUAAGUUUAAUUUAAAUAAGAUCACAGUAUGUUUGACUUCUUGGUUUCAAAUGUUAUCAUUAUAUCUAUACCUUGCUAGAAUCCUGUCCAACCAUUUUUUAUGAUAGAUAAAAUUCCCUACUUCUUGUGUUUAGCACUUUUGUUAAAUUACAGCUCAUUCUGGGCUUUGUUGGCUAUUCCUUCAUGAUACUCUGUAGUUAACUGACCCUCAUUUCAGCUUUUUCCAGUAUCCUUUAUUAAAAAUCUGAGUUCAAUUAGUGCUCCCUGUCCAGUUACCAUGAUCCAGUUAUCAUGCUUUUGACUUCUCCAUCAAGUAUUUUAUUGCAUUAGAGUCAAUAUUUUCAAGAUUUCCUUCUUCUUGGGCCAAUGUUCCCGUAAGAGUGAGUCUCAACCCAUAUAGCUUUACAUUUUUCUCCCACUGUCCCCUCUCAAAUAUUUAAUACUUACAAAUACAGUACAUGUAUGUAUUCUCCUAACUUGAGACACUUUCUUUCUAUGUUCUCGGUGCAUUCAUAUCACAACUGUUCUUGCUCACUGGCAAAAAUUCAGCCUGAUUUAGUGGACUGCAUUUUCUACUCUCCAAGAAAUAAAGCUGAUCACAAAGAAAGUAUUUAUUACAGUUUACACCAUCCCCUCAUGUUUAAAAAAUAUUAGAAUGAGAGUUUCUAAAGCUAUCUUCCCGACUGAAUCU